rnacentral:sRNA from 1 species
CACUGCCUUCUGCGUCUUGGCCAGGCUAGGAGAGAGGGGCUAGGGCGUCAGGGCGGUAGUCUUCACUAAAACAGUGUCAGGGGGCCAGCUGGACUGGUUAAGGGGCCUGGGGUGUCUCUGUGGGUCCCUCUUGAACAUCUCAAGGGCUCAGGGCUUUUCUGGACUAUGGGAGGGUUGUGGGUUACGCUCUAAUUGUGGAUCAGAGCUCAGGGAUCUCCCGCAAAUCGUCAAGACCAAGGUCAAGGGUCUUGGGAUAGCGAGACGCACCUGCGGUGUUCAGAAAAGGACAGGGUGAGAGGUCUGAUGGAAGUUGUGGGGAGGUAGAGAGGCUUUAGAGGAAGAAUGUUUCUGAGAGGUUCCAGGGAGUUCCCCCUCCCUAACUCCUACCCGAGACUCUCCUCUGCCUUCUUAUCCCUCAUCCCCCACCAACACACAAAUAACAAAGUGGCUUCCUGGAAAAAAAUUUUUUUUGAGAAAGAUGCAACACACAACACCCACUCUAAACAAGAUUUAUGACGUCUUCUUUCCCCUUCUGAAAUGGGAAGUUAGGAACGCCUUUCUUUUCAGUACCCCACUCUAUGCUUUGGGGCAGGCCUUUUGGAGCUGUCUGUGGGUGUCUCUGAAGCUUCCUCCAGUCUAUCCUCCUCUGAGCUGAGAAGAGCAAGGGAACCACGGAUGCCAUGGAUGGAGCUUGAGGCUGUUUAGAGUCUUCUCUGGGAAAAGCUGAGGUGGUACAGGGUAUCAGAGGAAGGUGGCAGCUGGCUCGAGCAAGGAGUGGCUCCAGGCUAGAUCUUUGGAGCAGCAAAAACAUCCAAAAAAAUACAAUCUAUUGAGCCAUUGUGGCAGAGAGGCCAGAUGAUCUUGAUACUGAGCCUCAAAGGGAGAGAGAGAGACCCUCUUUGAAUAUUCUUUAUAUUCGGGAGGUGAUAGGAUCUUAAGGCACUGGAGUUUGAGGGUCCAGCUUUCAGUGAAGGGAGGUCAGAGGUAGGCUAAGUGGGUGCAGAGGUAGGGUGUACCUCGAGAGCUUCCAGGAGCAAUACUGGCUGGUUACAAGGGAAGGCUUGGCCAUUUGAAGGAGAUAUUUUGAGGUCCCUGUUUAGAAGAGCCCACACCCUGCUGCCUGCCUUCACCUCAGCUGUUGAAGAAAUGGGCAGGUUAAAAGAUAGAAAGAGAGCUAUAGCCCACUUGGACAUGUGUCUUUGAGGGUAGGUGUGGAGUCCUCUGUACCCUCUGGGUACAAGGAACUGGCUCCAUCUGAGGUAUCCCAUAGCUGGAUCUCCCAGUGAACAGCCCUUUAAGCCUCCAGACAAUAGGAAGAUCAGCUUAGUCAAAGCUUGAGCCUGACGAGGGAUGGGAGAGAAAAGAAGCCAUGGAGAAGAGGCACCUGGAAUUGGCCUGGGUUGUGGCUAGAGAUUCUAUGUCCUAAUUACAGCCCAGAGGGGAUCAAAAGGAGUGCUCAUUGCAGGCCAAGUGGCUGCAUCUGUUGUAUUCCAUCAGCCUCAGGCUCCCAGCCUUACCUUAGGAUCUGGGCAAGUCUGGUCACAGGACUAGGAUGUCCACACCCUACUGUGAGUGAGGGCAUGACUUGUUCCUGGUCCUUCUCAGAACCCCUUAACUCAUAAACUGAAUAACUACCAACAGGGAAUAGAAGCACGGGGACAGAGGCAAGUGGAGUGGAUGCCUGCCAGCAGGUGCAACAGAUCUGCGUGCAGAUAUGCACGCACAAGUAACAUGCCAGCCUUAGGGUCCACCUCAUAAACUGAUUGUGGGAGAAAAUGCAAUGUCCAUUUCAAUGGGCUCUAGGGCAGGUAUAGUUUCUGUAGAUUCAGAUAUGGGAACUCAGUCAAAGACUUUUGUCUCUGUGUGGUAAUUUGAAUAUGAAAAAUGGAGUCUCCAACCUUUGGAGAUGUCGAAGUGCUGGCCAUUCCCCUGGGUGUUUGCUUUUCUAAGUUGCUGUAGGCACCCGUAGAGCUCACAUUUCAAACCACAGCUAGGAGACCAAGGAAGUUCUGAGCUAGUGGAACAGCUGAAGGAAAAGAAAAACGAAAAACAAAACAAAACAAAACAAAAAUGCAGGGUGGGCAGCUCUCAGCACCAUGGCCAGGGCCUGUCAGCAGCCGCCAGUUUUCUAGCUGGGCCACCUCUAGAUCCAGCGCCAGCUCUUUCUUGGGACUUAGGGACAGUAGGCUAGAGGCAAGGGAUUGAUAUAGGAGGAAGUGCAUCGAACUUAGAGCCGGCCCAGGGUACAGUGUGAAGAUGAGAAGACAAUCAGAGCCAAGGUCAGCAGGGCCCUCCUUGGGUAGGCUCAACCCCAAACAAUGUGUCCCUGCUGGGUAUGACCUGGAGGCUUCCCAUCCUGUACAUGGGUGUGGCUGCUAGCCCAAGAGACGACCUACUGCCCUGUCCCACCAGAACAGCCUCCAAGUGGCAAGCAGUGAUGGUUCAAGGCCCACACUCACUGUGGCCUCCUUCCUGAGAGUGAGCUGAUAGUGUCUUCGUACCCCUUGACACUGGAAGACAGAGGUCUUACUCCAGCAUUGUGCAGCAGACCCUCUGCCUGGCUGACCUCACCUGCUUUAGCAAGGGACUUGGUUUCCUAAAAGACAACAGAAUGUGGCUUUGGUGGCAGUGGCCUGCUGCACCUGAACAGAAUGCAAAAUCAAGCUUUUUAAUCUUUCUCCCAGAGCCCUAACCAGUCCUAGGCUUUCAGGCCAGGGCUCCAGUGUGCUGUAACCAUGAUCCUCGCUGAGGAGCCAUUUUGUGCAGCGUCCUGCUUAAAUCACACUCUGAGAGUCCUCCUUCUCUUUCUCUUUCCCCUCUCUCCUGCUCCCCGCUCUGCUCUCCCUCUUUCUUUUCCCUCCCCCUCUCAGGUGAAUCGUGCUUGCACAGUUCUCUCUGCCUCUUCAGUUCCACCCAUUCCAGCUCAGGGUGGCCGGGAAAGACUAGAGCGCAGGAGGCCGCCCACACCGACAGACACACAGCUCAAUGGAAGAGGGUGUAGAUUCCAGAGGCUGUAGGAGGAGAAGAAAGGGGCACCUCCUAAUUAUGAAAAAUCCUUUAGGAUUAACCAGGCAGGCCCAAAUUCGAGGUUCCUUCCUGGGCCUUGCUGUCAGUAGGUCAGCCUCUCUGUUUCUCUGAUGCUUCAUUUCGGUCUAGCCUGCGUCCUUUUUCUGAGACACGGAUUUGUCUGUGAGGUGGCAGUUGAAAAGAGCUGGCUUGCUCACUGGCUGACAGAAAUGGCAGUGGGACUGCAGCCCACCUUGGAUUUUGGGUCAAGAUGAAAAUAGGACAAAUCUAAAACAAGCACAGGGUAAAGAGGUGCACGCCAAAACCUGAUACUUAACAACAAUCCAGAUGUGUCAUUUUAAGGGAGAGUGCAUUAGAUGCCUUUAGGAAAAUCCAAGAACCUUCCGAAUCACCCACUUUGGGCCUAUUCUUUGAACCCGACCUUAUGAGAUUUGCUGAUGGAGUGUGUGUGUUGUGGGGGAGGGGGUGCCCCAGCCUCACCAAAGCAGAUCUGAAUGAGUACCCCCACCUAAGGCUGGGCUGGUCCGGGAUGCCUUUGCAUGGAGGGAGAAUCUUUGGGACUUCCGAAUAGUCACUGCUGGAAUCCUGGAAUCUGUUACCCUACUCUAUUGUUGAAUCGGUCUCUAGCUCUUGAAUUUAAGAUCUUUCUAAGGACGUCUGGGGAAAAGAUAUCUAAUUUUUUUUAUGUUUAAUCCUUUGCCUCCCAGGAAUGGGUGAUGGAGGUGAAUCAGAGGGCUCGGAGUGGGACGGUGGGCACAGGAGCAAGGAAGAAGGGAUUGGUUUCAGUUGCUCCAGAUUCCCGAAUUUCCUACCUGGGCUCUGAGUGCCCUUCACUAGCACCUACUGGCCUUCAGCACGAAGGAGGCUCGCAUCACUGCAGGGAAAGGUGAGUGGCUGUAGCCAGGGAAGGAGGGCAUGUAGAGUCUUAAAAUCGAACAAAUAAAACAAAAAACGAACCGGCAGAAUGAAACAUCGUCGGAAGAUUCCAGGACCACGUUGGUAAGGUGACUGUGUUUCUACCUGAAUCCCCUGAAAGUGGACCCCUUCCCUCUGUAGGCCAGAAUCUAAAGUCACCAAGUCAUCCCUCUCAUUCCCAAGAGUGCUGUGGCUUUAGUAAUACACCUGCUGGCUUGUGCUUUGUAAGGCAACCCCGCUGGGUUGGGACCAUCCUCCAUCUCCCCAGGACACUGUCCCCAAGACAGGCAGAGCACACUUGGGUGCCAGAAUGAUUCUGGCCUCCAAAGUGGUUUCUUGGACACCUUUGGCCUGAGCCUGGCUCUCGAGCGGUGGCCAGCAACCUCGACUGGUAAAGGGGCCGCUUGCCUAGGGGUCAGGCUAGCCCACAGUGGGACUCAGGACCUGGUCCUGCGCGCUCGCUCUCGGAAACCGCGUGGUGAGAGCUUAGGCAGAGACUGACUCCCUUGGCGGCCCCGCACGCACCUCCUGUCCCAGGCCUACCCGGGCCUAUGGAAGCUUCCGCGCGAAGCUGGCAGGGAAGGCCCUCAGAGCACGCGUAAACCCGACGCCCGGCGCCGAGAGGAGACCCGAAGGACCAGCCGCGUCCCCUGGGCCUGCGCCAAGGCUUCGGCGGGGAGCGCUGCGGGGCCGGGAGGCCAUUUUGAGAGCGAACGCACGGCGGCAAGAUGGCUGCGUGGGCACGAGGUAGGUCGCAGCGCCGCAGGGUCGGCCGAGCUCCUCCUCGCGCCAGCAGGGCCGCUCAACCCCAUGGAAGCAGCGCGCGCGGAGAGCGCACCCGGCCUAGGGGUCUGGGAAGUCGCCUGCGGCGGGCCGUCGCCAAGUAUUCCAGGACACUGUCCCCGAGGCCACAAUGCCUUUCCCGGCUGUUGAAAAGAAAGCAGCAGAAGAAAGUAGGCCGCUGCUGGCUCCUGAGUCCCUGGCAGCCUUCUCUCCUCAGACAUGGUGGGAUGUACUCUGAUCUAGAGCAGGCAUCUGGCCAGAGACCCACAGGGAGCUCUGUGAUUGGCCUCAGAUGACCUAGAGGACAAAGAGAGGUCAGUGACUCCUGUUGUCUGCGAGUGUGAUGCUGGAGGUGGAGGUGGGACAAAGCCAUCAUGUCUUUGAAGAAAGCUUCUGGCCUCAAGCCAGACUCAGGAUUUUGGAGACUCGAGCCUCUUCUGGACAUGUGCACCUUGACAGUAGUGGCUUCUAAUUGUCCUGUGAAGGGAAAUGAUGGAACAGGCUCUGGUCGGCUUUUCUGGGAACAGACAGAGAAGUGGUAACUCCUGCCAAAGUCACGGGAUGCAUACAAAGCCCAGAACCCGAACAGGAAAAUGCAGCAGGAAAGGACACCGCAGCAGCCACCAUCCUGGGGUGGCUGUGCACGGGGCAGUCCUGCCCCUGGAACUUGGCCAGAGGCCAGGGCAAGUGCCCACCUCCCUUCUAGGGGCCUUUGUCACUGGCCUGCUUGCCCAGGUCUCCUUCAUCUCUGCUGCUGCCACACCUUUCAGGCCUGUUCUGGGUCUGAUGUGAUGCAGAACACUCUGCUCCGUCACUUGGGAAAUGGAAACUUCAUCACCAGCGUUUCCACCCCAAAGAACUAGACAGCACACUGGGAAGUUGCCAAAGGAAGGGACUUCAGCCUCCCAGGAGUUAACAACAUUUCUCCCCAGCUGUCCUCCCCUUGGUGCUCCUUUUCCUCCCUCCUCCUGCUCACAGCAGGCAGGGCCUGGAACCAGGAGCCAUGCUGCUGUGCUGUUGCCAGGGGAGCUGGGAGGCAGAUCAGAGCUAUGCAGGGGAAAGGCUCAGCCUGUCAAAGUGUCUGAGAUGAACCACCGCCAUCCCCGUGCAGCUGGGCUCCAUGUGUCUCAAGGCUCUUGUUCUGUGCCUGAGAACAGGGAAACCCAGCGAGGUUCAAGGGCACACUCGCUAUUCAUCAGUCAGGGGUUCUUGACGGUCCUGCCUCUCCCAGAGAUGGGUUCCCCCCUUCCUCUUUCUCUCCCUCCUGUGACACAAUCCUGGGUGCCUAUGGUGAGGACUGCACACCCCCUCCCUACUGCUCCCCCCAAACCCUGAAUCAACUCUUAUUAAGGAGGCCAGGCAGGACAGAGACAAUGGCUUCAAGAAAUCAUUCAGGCAGGACCCCAGCCACAUUUGCCUGCCCUUCACUCCCAGUGCCCCUGUAGAUCCCACUCUGCAGUGAUUCAGGGCACCCUUGGGCCCCCAGCUUGCAUAUGCUUAGACAGGAGCAGGCCACUAGGUGCUGCCCUACACAACAGGCCAGUGCACUAUUCUCAGUGUUAUUCUUAGUGGCCCCUAGGUCCCUCUGUCCCACUGGCUGCAUAUUUUUGUGCAGUUGGCCGGAAAGUAGAAACUGUACAAUAUUUUCUGAAAUGUGGUAAUAUCAAAAUGUAAAAGACAUAUAUACUUGAUUACUAAUCUCAUCCAGAUACCCUGGAAACGUUUGCUAAGAAGCAUGGACAAAGAGCUGUGGUUGAAGGAAUGAGUCAUUCCUUUCUAUGGAGUACCGCAGAGGCAGCUCGUGCAGGCUGAUAGGGAAGGCUCCAAUAUACUCAAGUGCAGAAUAAAGUACAAAAGGUCAAGUAAAGGACAAACGUGUUCCUGUUUGUAUAUACCUAAAGUCAGUCAGGGACUCGGGAGUGAACGCCAUGGUAAAAUGCACCCAGCAUGCAUACAAGAGGCCGAGAGCCAAGUAAAACUGUGUCAGCCACAAGUACGUCUGUAUGGAUGGCCCUGAAGCAGGCAUUGCACAGCAGCCUCUGGAAGCAGGAGGCAUUUCUUCCUUGUUUUUGUGUUUGUUUUCUCUCUGUGUUUGUGAAAAGGGAAAGGGUAGUUGUCACUUAAUAGGUAUAACUUCUCUCAGCCAAUGAAGGGUGUGCACUCUGAGACAAGGUGGUGAUGUGGCAGAGAAGUGUCUUGACAGUACUGGUGGCUUCUGGCCACUGGCGUUUCUCCAACCACAUGUCAUCAUUAUGGCUGCCACUGUUAAUCAAAAGCCCACUUACUUCCAGGGUUGGUUGUCUGGCUCUUGCUUGGGUGAGUGUCACGUUAUUUCAGUCUAACCUACACAGGAGACUGACUGGGGAAAUCAGUAGGUUUCUCCAAGCGGCUUGGCAAGUGAGGCAGAGUCAGUAUCCUAGAGUGGGUAAGGCAAGUGUGGGCUCUGGUUUCCCUUUGGGAGGACCUGUUUGGAUGAGUGGGGCUUGUGGGCUGUGUUGAUUAUGAGUGGGCACUCCUGCUUUAGCCCAAUGGAGGUGUCCUGCUGGGGACAGGAUGGCCUCAGGAGUAGUGGAUUGGCUCUGAAAGGCUCUAUCUGCAUACACACAGCAGAGAGAUACACUGGACUUUACUGCUCCCAGUGCGAAUCAAAAGCCUGGCUUUGCUCCCACAGGAGUAAAUCGCUACGGGGCAUCCGGAAAGGGCAGCAUGGAGCUGGCAUUGAGUCUUGGAACCAACAUAAGUCCAGGCACAGCAUCCUGUGGAGCUCUGAGUUGGGUCCUGAGGCCUGGGAGCAGGCAAGGAAAGAUCAACAGUAGAGUUGACCAGAGGAAGCUGGGAGAUCCAUGGAGGCCCCUGGACUUGAUGGCAGCUUUGGAAGUCAGGAGGAAAGCAACUAGGGGUGGGGCUGUUGCCAGGUCUCCUGCUUUGGUGCAGUGAGUCUUAGUUUUAUAUGAUGGGAACCACUGGUAAGAUCAUUUUACAAAUGACACCGAAGUUCGGAAAUGUUGCUACAUGUCUCAAGUCACAGCUAAAAAGUUCCAGAACUGAGAUUUAACACCUAUCUCAUUGGUUGCAGUCUGGAUUCCUAGCCCCAAAUGUAUCCUGUUUGGUUGGGCCACUUAAACGAGGUCUCCUAACCCCAACCCCUCCUGCCGGUCCCAUACAUAGAGACAUUAAAUUCUGCCUGCAAGGUUCCCUCAAUACCUUGCCUGGGACCCUCCUUAAUUCCACCGAAUUCCAUCUCUGGGCUACACUAAGCUUUGCAGCCUGGGCCUUGAGAGCUGGAGAAGAAAUUCAAAGCCAUGUACAGACUCCGGGCCUUCAGUUAGCAUUUUUACUUAGCACUACGCUGUUUGCUUCUGGAAGUCUGGCCAUCUGCAUUCUGCAGAUGCUGUCUCUUCCUUCAGGUCCUUGACCUGCAAACCUAUGGGAAGGUCAAGGGUGCUCUAGGGCCUAGCUCCAUGCUUCACAGAGGUCGCCCUGCUGAGGGCUGCAGCAACCCAAGGCUGAGGAUCAGGCCUGGAAGAGCAAAAAGGGACAGCCAGACUUAGAAAUCGUUGGAACUCUUCCUCUGGCUUAUUUCAGGACAACGCUGGGGGAUGAUUAAGACAAAUUCGAGAGAAAGGACUCUUCUGACCCUGGGAAACCUCUGCCUCUUUUACCCCAGCUCACAACUAAUAAAAGUUCGGGAAAAAAAAA